GCGAAUGUCCAGAUUCAGCAGAUGAAAAACUGCAAUGAAAAUUUAUACCCUGUGAUAGAAAGGUAAAUUUCUUCUGUAGAAAAACCUAGCCAAGUUCCCUCCUAAGCUCGCAACAGCUGAGUUAGUUGUGCCCUUCCCUAAUAAGUUGCUGCAGCUCAUAUCAUUCUCUGAGUAUGGUGGUGUUUUAGAAGGUGAGUGGAGUGCAAAUUUG
rnacentral:misc_RNA from 1 species